ensembl:snRNA U6 U6 spliceosomal RNA
AUGCUCGCUUUGGCAGCACAUAUACUAAAAUUGGAACGAUACAGAGAAGAUUAGCAUGGCCCCUGCACAAGGAUGACAUGCAAAUUCGUGAAGCAUUCCAUAUUUUU